rnacentral:rRNA from 1 species
CCUCUGGAAACGGAGAGUAAUACCGUAUGAGCCCUUCGGGGGAAAGAUUUAUCGCCAAAGGAUCGGCCCGCGUUGGAUUAGAUAGUUGGUGGGGUAACGGCCUACCAAGUCGACGAUCCAUAGCUGGUCUGAGAGGAUGAUCAGCCACACUGGGACUGAGACACGGCCCAGACUCCUACGGGAGGCAGCAGUGGGGAAUAUUGGACAAUGGGCGAAAGCCUGAUCCAGCAAUGCCGCGUGAGUGAUGAAGGCCUUAGGGUUGUAAAGCUCUUUUACCAGGGAUGAUAAUGACAGUACCUGGAGAAUAAGCUCCGGCUAACUCCGUGCCAGCAGCCGCGGUAAUACGGAGGGAGCUAGCGUUGUUCGGAAUUACUGGGCGUAAAGCGCGCGUAGGCGGCUUAUCAAGUCAGGGGUGAAAUCCCGGGGCUCAACCCCGGAACUGCCCUUGAAACUGGUUCGCUAGAAUACUGGAGAGGUGAGUGGAAUUCCGAGUGUAGAGGUGAAAUUCGUAGAUAUUCGGAAGAACACCAGUGGCGAAGGCGACUCA